AAACCAGCACCUCAAGUGGUCAGGAGGAUUAUUGGGCCUAAAGCAUCCGUAGCCUGCUUUGUAAGUUUCCGGUUAAAUCCAUUAGCUCAACUGAUGGGCCGCCGGAAAAACUGCAAAGCUAGGGAGUGGGAGAGGUAGACGGUACUCGGUAGGAAGGGGUAAAAUCCUUUGAUCUAUUGAUGACCACCAGUGGCGAAGGCGGUCUACCAGAACACGUUCGACGGUGAGGGAUGAAAGCUGGGGGAGCAAACCGGAUUAGAAACCCGGGUAGUCC
rnacentral:rRNA from 1 species